rnacentral:rRNA from 1 species
GGGSGGGCAGGCCUAACACAUGCAAGUCGAGCGGUAGCACAGAGAGCUUGCUCUCGGGUGACGAGCGGCGGACGGGUGAGUAAUGUCUGGGAAACUGCCUGAUGGAGGGGGAUAACUACUGGAAACGGUAGCUAAUACCGCAUAACGUCGCAAGACCAAAGUGGGGGACCUUCGGGCCUCAUGCCAUCAGAUGUGCCCAGAUGGGAUUAGCUAGUAGGUGGGGUAACGGCUCACCUAGGCGACGAUCCCUAGCUGGUCUGAGAGGAUGACCAGCCACACUGGAACUGAGACACGGUCCAGACUCCUACGGGAGGCAGCAGUGGGGAAUAUUGCACAAUGGGCGCAAGCCUGAUGCAGCCAUGCCGCGUGUGUGAAGAAGGCCUUCGGGUUGUAAAGCACUUUCAGCGGGGAGGAAGGCGAUGAGGUUAAUAACCUUGUCGAUUGACGUUACCCGCAGAAGAAGCACCGGCUAACUCCGUGCCAGCAGCCGCGGUAAUACGGAGGGUGCAAGCGUUAAUCGGAAUUACUGGGCGUAAAGCGCACGCAGGCGGUCUGUCAAGUCGGAUGUGAAAUCCCCGGGCUCAACCUGGGAACUGCAUUCGAAAACUGGCAGGCUAGAGUCUUGUAGAGGGGGGUAGAAUUCCAGGUGCUAGCGGUGAAAUGCGUAGAGAUCUGGAGGAAUACCGGUGGCGAAGGCGGCCCCCCUGGACAAAAGACUGACGCUCAGGUGCGAAAGCGUGGGGGAGCAAACAGGAUUAGAUACCCUGGUAGUCCACGCCGUAAACGAUGUCAAUUGGGAGGUUGUGCCCUUGAGGCGUGGCCUCCCGGAGCUAACGCGUUAAGUCGACCGSCCUGGGGUAGUACGGCCGCCAAGGUAAAAACUCAAAUGAAUUGACGGGGGCCCCGCCCCAAGCCGGUGGAGCAUUGUGGGUUUAGUUCGAUGCACGCGAAAAACCCUAGCC